AGUGAACGCUGGCGGUAGGCCUAACACAUGCAAGUCGAACGGCAGCACAGUAAGAGCUUGCUCUUACGGGUGGCGAGUGGCGGACGGGUGAGGAAUACAUCGGAAUCUACUUUUUCGUGGGGGAUAACGUAGGGAAACCUACGCUAAUACCGCAUACGACCUACGGGUGAAAGCAGGGGAUCUUCGGACCUUGCGCGAUUGAAUGAGCCGAUGUCGGAUUAGCUAGUUGGCGGGGUAAAGGCCCACCAAGGCGACGAUCCGUAGCUGGUCUGAGAGGAUGAUCAGCCACACUGGAACUGAGACACGGUCCAGACUCCUACGGGAGGCAGCAGUGGGGAAUAUUGGACAAUGGGCGCAAGCCUGAUCCAGCCAUACCGCGUGGGUGAAGAAGGCCUUCGGGCUGUAAAGCCCUUUUGUUGGGAAAGAAAAGCAGCAGGUUAAUACCCCGCUGUUCUGACGGUACCCAAAGAAUAAGCACCGGCUAACUUCGUG
rnacentral:rRNA from 1 species